GUGGGGAAUUUUGGACAAUGGGCGCAAGCCUGAUCCAGCAAUGCCGCGUGCAGGAAGAAGGCCUUCGGGUUGUAAACUGCUUUUAUACGGAACGAAACGGUCCUGGCUAAUACCUGGGGCUAAUGACGGUACCGUAAGAAUAAGCACCGGCUAACUACGUGCCAGCAGCCGCGGUAAUACGUAGGGUGCGAGCGUUAAUCGGAAUUACUGGGCGUAAAGCGUGCGCAGGCGGUGCUGUAAGACAGGCGUGAAAUCCCCGGGCUCAACCUGGGAAUUGCGCUUGUGACUGCAGUGCUGGAGUGCGGCAGAGGGGGAUGGAAUUCCGCGUGUAGCAGUGAAAUGCGUAGAUAUGCGGAGGAACACCGAUGGCGAAGGCAAUCCCCUGGGCCUGCACUGACGCUCAUGCACGAAAGCGUGGGGAGCAAACAGGAUUAGAAACCCGUGUAGUCC
rnacentral:rRNA from 1 species